AUUGAACGCUGGCGGCGUGCCUAAUACAUGCAAGUAGGACGAGUUGCGAACGGGUGAGUAACGCGUAGGAACAUGCCUAUUAAAGGGGGCUAACUACUGGAAACGAUAGCUAAUACCGCAUACAAGUAGAUGGACCUGCGUUGUAUUAGCUAGUAGGUAGGGUAAUGGCCUACCUAGGCGACGAUCCGUAGCUGGUUUGAGAGGACGACCAGCCACACUGGGACUGAGACACGGCCCAGACUCCUACGGGAGGCAGCAGUGGGGAAUUUUGGACAAUGGGGGCAACCCUGAUGCAGCCAUCCCGCGUGUGCGAGAAGGCCUUCGGGUUGUAAAGCACUUUUGGCAGGAAAGCGGUACCUGCAGAAUAAGCACCGGCUAACUACGUGCCAGCAGCCGCGGUAAUUC
rnacentral:rRNA from 1 species